rnacentral:rRNA from 1 species
UACGGGGGGGGCAAGCGUUGUUCGGAAUUACUGGGCGUAAAGGGCUCGUAGGUGGCCAACUAAGUCGGACGUGAAAUCCCUCGGCUUAACCGGGGAACUGCGUCCGAUACUGGUUGGCUUGAGUUUGGGAGAGGGAUGCGGAAUUCCAGGUGUAGCGGUGAAAUGCGCAGAUAUCAGGAGGAACACCGGUGGCGAAGGCGGAUCUCUGGGCCUUACCUGACGCUGAGGCGCGAAAGCUAGGGGAGCGAACAGG